CCUCUUUUAUAACAACCACAAAGAGCAUCAAAAUGAACUAUUAAUAACAAAAAGCAAAGCGAGAAGUUUAGAUACAUAUGGAGAUAUAUACCUCUACUUAUGACCUUUGUUUCUUAGAAGGGGAACAACUGGCUUCUUCAUGAUGUUCACUAUCGUCGUAUCUGAUCCUCCUUAUCCCAAUGGAAAGUUCUGUUGGUGGUUCAUCAUUGGUCUCAACAAGCUUAGAUUCAUCUUUAUAGAAUAAACGAAGUCCACACUCCUUCAAUUCUUCAGGAAAAGAUAACAUAAUGUGCCCAUAGUCAUUCAGUGUUUUACCAUUUGCGUUAGAUGAAUCCCAUAAUCCAGCAAAAGGUACCAAGAAAAACUGAAUCUUAGAAUAUAUACAUUCAGAAUGAUUGGAUAAGACAAGUUUCUGGGUGAUACACGGC